AUGCAAAUGGUGUUUGUGGGUUUCCAUGAAGCCGUGGGGCAGGGAUUGCGCAAUACCUGUACCCCGCCAUUUGCCA
rnacentral:ncRNA from 1 species